CCUACGGGAUGCAGCAGUGAGGAAUAUUGGUCAAUGGACGAGAGUCUGAACCGGCCAAGUAGCGUGAAGGAUGACUGCCCUAUGGGUUGUAAACUUCUUUUAUAUGGGAAUAAAAUGUUCCACGUGUGGGAUUUUGUAUGUACCAUAUGAAUAAGGAUCGGCUAACUCCGUGCCAGCAGCCGCGGUAAUACGGAGGAUCCGAGCGUUAUCCGGAUUUAUUGGGUUUAAAGGGAGCGUAGGUGGAUUGUUAAGUCAGUUGUGAAAGUUUGCGGCUCAACCGUAAAAUUGCAGUUGAAACUGGCAGUCUUGAGUACAGUAGAGGUGGGCGGAAUUCGUGGUGUAGCGGUGAAAUGCUUAGAUAUCACGAAGAACUCCGAUUGCGAAGGCAGUUCACUGGACUGCAACUGACACUGAGGCUCGAAAGUGUGGGUAUCAAACAGGAUUAGAUACCCCGGUAGUC
rnacentral:rRNA from 1 species